rnacentral:rRNA from 1 species
AUUGAACGCUGGCGGCAGGCUUAACACAUGCAAGUCGAGCGGGGUGAUGGUGCUUGCACUAUCACUUAGCGGCGGACGGGCGAGUAAUGCUUAGGAAUCUGCCUAUUAGUGGGGGACAACAUCUCGAAAGGGAUGCUAAUACCGCAUACGUCCUACGGGAGAAAGCAGGGGAUCACUUGUGACCUUGCGCUAAUAGAUGAGCCUAAGUCGGAUUAGCUAGUUGGUGGGGUAAAGGCCUACCAAGGCGACGAUCUGUAGCGGGUCUGAGAGGAUGAUCCGCCACACUGGGACUGAGACACGGCCCAGACUCCUACGGGAGGCAGCAGUGGGGAAUAUUGGACAAUGGGGGGAACCCUGAUCCAGCCAUGCCGCGUGUGUGAAGAAGGCCUUAUGGUUGUAAAGCACUUUAAGCGAGGAGGAGGCUCUUUUGGUUAAUACCCAAGAUGAGUGGACGUUACUCGCAGAAUAAGCACCGGCUAACUCUGUGCCAGCCGCCGUAACAC